GCCAUCUCUAGCAUUCAGCAAAGAUAGGUGGAACUUCAUUGUGCUGAAGUUAUGUUUGAGCACCCUCUGCUGGACAAAUCAGGUAAGUACAGGAUUUUUUUUUUUUUUUUUUUUGGUCUUGUGCCUUUUAAAUACACGCUCGGAAGAAGAUUUUUUAUCUCGAAUCUACACUAAAAGAAGUCUCCUCUUUAAACAGAUGCUCUAUGACUACCAACAAUGUACCAGUGGUAUUCGUCUCUUACAGAUCUGGAAGAAAAUGAAAUUUAGGUAAUUGGUCCCAACCAUGGUAAAGCUUAGUGGAAAAGAAAAAAAAGGUAAAAAUCUAUUGUAGACUGAGUGCCCUGAAUCAGAAAACACACAGUCCAGCUGCUCUGAAAUCUACAUCGUUAAGUAUCAUCGUGACACUACAAAGAGAAAACUCCAUAUCUGACCACACAUGAGAAUCUACUGAUGAAUACAACCAUGGAUUUACUAAAAAAAAAAGGUGUAUAAAAUGAUCUUCAAGCUGCUCAUAUAAGAUAGGUAUGAAGUGUAAAUUGAAUUUUGGGUCUGACCCCUUAACAUAUUUUCCUGCGUGAAUACAAAUUCCCCCAAGUCCAAAUAACCCCACACUUGGGCAUUUCAGAUAGGGGAUACCCAAUCUGUAAGCCGUUUACUGCCAUAGAGAAGCUACGAUGCAAGCAGAGCCCACUAACAACUUGGCCAAAACACUUCUAAUAACAGAACUUCACAUGGGUUUCCAUGAGGUCAGAAUGGAAGUAGGAGGAUACAUUGUUUGACGUCAUGGUAUCUGUCCAAUUAAGGUCUGUGUGAGCCUUCCAUCACCGUGACAAAACACAGAACAGAAUCAGCUUUUUAAGGGGGCUUAUUUUGGAUUAUGGUUGCAUAGGAAGAUAUAUAGAUAGGAUCUCCAUGCCAAUAUUUUUAAUGGGUGCUGUCUCUAUUGCUCUGGGCAGGAGAAGGCAGCAGCUGGCAUCAAUGGUGUGGUGAGGAGAGAAUCAAGUUUCCUUCUCCAGUUCAAACAGACGAAAGUGAAGCGACAUAGGCUCAAGGACAGGGUCACUGGGCUAGCGCCACACCAUGGAGCCAAACCCCGAGCCUUCUAAAUUGUGAGCUGGGCAUGGUGGUUCACCCCAGGAAUCGCAGCACUGAGGGAUGAAGGCGAGAGAGUCACUGUGGGUAUGACAUCAGUCUGACCUGAAGUCUGAGACUGUUUUUUUAAGAAGAAAACAUUUUUUUAUGUCAUAUAUUUAAUUAUAUAAAGAUUCUGU
rnacentral:lncRNA from 1 species